rnacentral:rRNA from 1 species
GACGAACGCUGGCGGCGUGCCUAAUACAUGCAAGUUGAGCGAUGAAGAUUGGUGCUUGCACCAAUUUGAAAAGCAGCGAACAGGUGAGUAACGCGUGGGGAAUCUGCCUUUGAGCGGGGGACAACAUUUGGAAACGAAUGCUAAUACCGCAUAACAACUUUAAACAUAAGUUUUAAGUUUGAAAGAUGCAAUUGCAUCACUCAAAGAUGAUCCCGCGUUGUAUUAGCUAGUUGGUGAGGUAAAGGCUCACCAAGGCGAUGAUACAUAGCCGACCUGAGAGGGUGAUCGGCCACAUUGGGACUGAGACACGGCCCAAACUCAUACGGGAGGCAGCAGUAGGGAAUCUUCGGCAAUGGACGAAAGUCUGACCGAGCAACGCCGCGUGAGUGAAGAAGGUUUUCGGAUCGUAAAACUCUGUUGGUAGAGAAGAACGUUGGUGAGAGUGGAAAGAUCAUCAAGUGACGGUAACUACACAGAAAGGGACGGCUAACUACGUG